GCAAAACGCGAAGAACCUUACCCACCUUUGACAUGUACGGAAUCCUUUAGAGAUAGAGGAGUGCUCGAAAGAGAGCCGUAACACAGGUGCUGCAUGGCUGUCGUCAGCUCGUGUCGUGAGAUGUUGGGUUAAGUCCCGCAACGAGCGCAACCCUUGCCAUUAGUUGCUACAUUUAGUUGAGCACUCUAAUGGGACUGCCGGUGACAAACCGGAGGAAGGUGGGGGUGACGUCAAGUCCUCAUGGCCCUUAUAGGUGGGGCUACACACGUCAUACAAUGGCUGGUACAAAGGGUUGCCAACCCGCGAGGGGGAGCUAAUCCCAUAAAGCCAGUCGUAGUCCGGAUCGCAGUCUGCAACUCGACUGCGUGAAGUCGGAAUCGCUAGUAAUCGUGGAUCAGAAUGUCACGGUGAAUACGUUCCCGGGUCUUGUACACACCG
rnacentral:rRNA from 1 species